rnacentral:rRNA from 1 species
GACCUGGCUGGGCGGUCCGCUUAACGGCGUGUACUGUCUGGCUGGGUCUUACCUCUUGGUGAGCCGGUGUGCCCUUUAUUGGAUGCGCUGGGGAACCAGGACUUUUACCUUGAGAAAAUUAGAGUGUUCAAAGCAGGCCUAUGCCUGAAUACAUUAGCAUGGAAUAAUAAAAUAGGACGUGUGGUUCUAUUUUGUUGGUUUCUAGAAUCGCCGUA